AGCAGCCGCGGUAAUUCCAGCUCCAAUAGCGUAUAUUAAAGUUGUUGCAGUUAAAAAGCUCGUAGUUGAAUUUCGGGAUCAAUUUGCUGGUCGUGCCUUCGGUACGCACUGGUAUUAUUGGUUUCUCCUUUCUGAUGAAUCGCGAUGUCAUUAAUUUGGUGUCGUGGGGAAUCAGGACUGUUACUUUGAAAAAUUAGAGUGUUUAAAGCAGGCUCACGCUUGAAUACAUUAGCAUGGAAUAAUGAAAUAGGACGUUUGAUUCUAUUUUGUUGGUUUCUAGGAUCGACGUAAUGAUUAAUAGGGAUAGUUGGGGCAUUAGUAUUCAAUUGUCAGAGGUGAAAUUCUUGGAUUUAUUGAAGACUAACUACUGCGAAAGCAUUUGCCAAGGAUGUUUUCAUUAAUCAAGAACGAAAGUUAGGGGAUCGAAGACGAUCAGAUACCGUCGUAGUCUUAACCAUAAAACUAUG
rnacentral:rRNA from 1 species